GGUUACAAUCGUCUCGUUGUUAAUUCUGACAAUAUGAAGAUGAUUGACACACUGAAUAGUGGGGGGACAUUCGGCGGGAGCGUGUCCGAUGAUUGCUAUUUCAUAGCUUGUGAUUUUCCUCUUAUUAGGUUUGAACAUUGUAAUAGGGAAGCAAAUAAGGUGGCUCACGAACUUGCUAGCCUAGCGAAUUUUUCCGUGACUAGGGAUUGGUUUGACAAGCCUAUAAGUGACAUUGUACCUUUUCUUAUUGACGAUGUAACAACCAUUACUAAUUAA
rnacentral:rRNA from 1 species